GCAUGAGCAAUGUUAUCGAGUUGACGUGGCAACGGCACCAGUCGGACCCCCAGGAGCCUCAGUACAGGAAAACCCUUCCCCUCUCCUGAUCCCUAGCUCCUCCCCUUUGACCUCCUGCUUCAAAGCUUCAUUGAACAAUACUGGUCUGCUGGAAUAUCUGAGCAUGUUGAGUUUUCUCAAGCUGUUCUCAACAACUGCAAUGUCCGUGUUGAUUGAUCCACACUCGUGCCUGAGUAGUUAGUUAAGCUCCAGUGCCGGAGGUGGGUCAAGUAUUUCAGACACGCGGAGUUAUAGCAGUAGUUAUGGUAAUACCAACAGUCACUGAUUGUGGACUUCACAACGAAUAGUAUGAAGAAUUAAAAGUUGGAUAACUUGUUGCAUGCUUUGUUGGACUAACAGAGCAACAUCGAAUAAUGGUAGAAAAUCUAGAAACAGUUAAAGAGUUAUAGAUCGAAGCAUAAGCUUUCCACGGGGUCUACUUCUGAUUUCAAUAGUAGUAGCAUUAUGGACCAUCCUGAAUUUUCCACUUAUGCAUCCAAAAUGUUCAAAGUGAACGUGCUUUUUACGCAAUUGCUGACAAAAAAAACUUUGUUAUGAACACUCAUAGCACGAUGAAUACAUCAGGUGUGCUUCAGGCGCAAAUUCUUCCCAACAACAUUAACACGGUGCCUAAGGUGUACCCAUCAUGGUUUGUUACGAGCACUUCACACUCCAAGACAAAACAGCCUCGCAUUGAAUAGACACUUGAUAAAGCGUUGAAAAAUGACAGAAGUUUUGUUGUGUGGUCCAGUAUGCCUUUUGACUCCAACCCAACAUUAGGUAGAACUCAAACUCAGCCCUUAGCAAUCACAGCGAGGCCAGCAUGGCAUCUCACCUUCUUGACCCUCAGCAAAUAUUAUUAGCCAACAAUACAAACAUCGUUAAAGUAAAUGUCGAUGGAAAUCGGCGGCACCCCUUUCGUUAACAAAUACUACAACUCGCUCAAGAAAUUAAGUACAAAGACGUAUUGCAGCAGCCUAGCACACCACAUCUUCUCCAAUGUUGGCUACAUCAACACUUCGAACAGCAGAGCAUUGAAGAGCACCAUCAUCGAUAUUGAUUUGGCGCAGCAACAGCACCAGUCCAGCCCGCAUGAGCCUCAGUCAAGGACGAACCUUCCCCUCCACCUGACCCUAGCAGCUUCAGUCCACGACGACCCUUCCACUCGACCUGACCCUAGCGCCUCCACCUUGACCUACGGCCUCAAAAGGUCAGCUUUGUUGAACGAUUCCAUUCGUCUGCAGGAAAUUCUGAGCACGUUGAGUUCUCGUGAACUGUUCUCAACAACUGCAAUGUCCUUGUUGAGUGAACCACACUCGAGCCUGAGUUAGUUCAGGUUGAGUGCCGGGAUAGGAACAAGUGUUCCAGACACGAGGAGUUAUAGCGAAAGUUAUGUUAAAGCUAACAAUCAGUUCUCGCUGUUGGACACCAGAAAGAAUAUCAAAACAAUAAAAAGUUGGAUAACCUGUACAAGGGCAGUAACGACUUCGUUUUGAACACUCAUGGUACAUCCCUGGGCAUGCCUCAGGCGUGAAUUCGGACAUCUGAAACGAGGUGCUAAAGGUUAACCCAUCAGGGUUUGUUACUUUGCACUCCAAGCCCAAUUGACCACACAUUGAAUUGGCAAUAGACAAGGCGUAAAAAAAUGACAGCAGUUUGGAUGUGUCAACCAGUAUGCCCUUCGAUUCUCAACUCGGCCAUAAGCAAUAUCAAUUAGGCUUGCAUGUCAUCUCAGCUUCUUGAGUAUCUGAUUACAUUAUUAUCCAAGAAGAAGAACAUUGUUGAAGUAAAUGUUGAAAACAGUCCAACCCCCCUUCUCACACAAAUACUACAAGUCGCUCAAGACAUUCAGCACGCCACCUAUGAACAUCUCGCACAAAAACAACAAGUCGUUCAAGAAAUUCAGCACGCCUCCUAUGAACAUCUCCCACAAAUACAACAAGUCGCUCAAGAUUCAGCACGCCACCUAUGAACAUCUCCUACAAAUACUACAAGUCGCUCAAGAAAUUCAGCACGCCACCUAUGAACAUCUCCCACAAAUAAUACAAGUCGUUCAAGAAAUUCAGCACGCCACCUAUGAACAUCUCCAACAAAUACUACAAGUCGCUCAAGAAAUUCAGCACGCCACCUAUGAACAUCUCCCACAAAUACUACAAGUCGUUCAAGAAUUUCAGCACGCCACCUAUGAACAUCUCCCACAAAUACUACAAGUUGCUCAAGAAAUUCAGCACGCCACGUAUGAACAUCUCGCACAAAUACUACAAGUUGUUUAAAAAUUUGGC